CAUUUGCACAGAAUAUAAAUUAGUAACUGGCAGCGGCAGCCGGUUCACUGAGAUAACAAGUUUGGCUGUAUGUUUUAGCUACUUUAAAGUCAUCCCAAUGUUUGCUUGAUUUCAAGAGAUGCUGGUGAGGAUGUAGAAACCUUAUGUUCCCAAUCUAGCAAAGUGGAGACAUAAAAUGUUCUUUCUUUCUUAUGAGAAAAUUAAUGUUUGGAGCUCAGAUGAUAAUUCUCUCUUUUCUGCCAAGGAUCAGAGGACUUCAGCUGUGAAGAGUCCUGAUGUCGUUUCAGGGUCGUUGCGCAUCUACGGGUACAUGAGUUCCACUGGCCAGAUGCCUGAGAUGGAAGAAGUAGAUACCAAUGAGAGGUUAGAGCACCGUCAUCUAUCUGUUCCUUUAGCAUUUUUUAGCCGACCUCUAGGCCCAAGAUGGUUUAUAUAUAGACCUGGUUCAUGCAUAAAUCAAAGAAAAGUGUUUUAACCCUGGCUGAGGCCUUUGUAAGAAUUCACUUGCUUGGUGCAACAUUGAUAUACCACCCAUAUGUUCACCUCAGCGGCCUCUUUUUUUUUGAAACGUCACUGCUGUAAAUGCACUGCUUCCCUCAGAUUUCUGGGGAAGCUACUUCAAGCAUUGGGGGACAUGUUUUCGGGCCUGUUUGCUCAGCAGGACAGAGGAAAUAUGGUUUUCCUAUGUUGGCAUCAGUGUUCUCUCUUCCGGUAUCUGCUUACAAACCCUCAGUAUCCUGUAACAUCACUGGAGUCUCACAACACUAAACAACACAGUAAUGACAUUUAUAAAUAGCACUGAGUAUGUGUUCCUCGUUGCUCAGCAUCCAGUGGUCUUCGUGUUGUUGUCAGUGAAUGUUAGGGUGCUGUUAUGUUUAUGCUUACACUCAGAGUGCUGAGUAAAGGUGUAAUGGUUCUAAUAACAACUGACAUCUUAUGAAUGUGCGCGGAAUUUUACAUACAACAAUUACUUCUGGUCCUCAAAUCUCAUUUCUAAGUGGUAAUUACAUCCCUGCGAAAUUUUGUUUCACCAUUUGUAUCACUCUUCUUGAGGCAUUUCUCACAGCGACUGUCAUGGCGGACAACUAAACCCACUAUUAUUUUAUAAAUGCUACUGUUUUUGUGUCACGGAAUGUAGUUUAAAGAGUUUUUUAAGGCGAGAAAGUUAUUUAAACUUCAAAUAUGCGGUUUGUUAAUAACAAUAACACCUAUUUGAAAAUGUGCUUUGCUGUUUUCGGAGAUGUGAGCUCCAGGGCGAAAAUCCCCUCAUCAGAUGAAAGGAUAGUACAACAAAGAUAUCGCUUUCAUUCAAAAAAGCAGGUAAUCACACUACAGUAGAUCAAUGAAACAACUUGGUGUUCCUAAAGUGAUAUUUGCAAAUUAGUAACAGAGGCUUCCCAGCUAACGAAAAAAGGUCCCUAGGAUGUCCCCUUAAUGGCCUUGUGUAGGUUCCCCUUGACGUCGAGCAGAUGUUCAUGUAGACGUCCUCCGGACAUUCACGGCGACGAUUACAGGACGUGCUGCGGCCAUUCUGGACGUUUAGGGAACUUUCACUUUAAGUCCUCUGAAUGUCAUUUUAUUUUACUUUUAGGCUAAUCAAAGACAAAAGACACAUUUUAUGGAGCAAAAUACGUUUAUUUUAAUUGAACAAUUUUAAAGUUGUGGUGCUCUUUCCGUGUGUGUGUGUGCAUCUCUGGUUGUCAGCUAGUGGUUAGUCCGAUGGCAAUUCUUCCCAUUGAAACAACAAAAUAAACACAUUCAGUAGUGUUAUGAUUUUAUUUGU
ensembl:lncRNA